rnacentral:rRNA from 1 species
ACCGGGAUUGCCCUAGUAACGGCGAGUGAAGCGGCAAGAGCUCAAAUUUGAAAGCUGGCCCCCUCGGGGUCCGCAUUGUAAUUUGUAGAGGAUGCUUCGGGAGCGGUCCCCAUCUAAGUGCCCUGGAACGGGCCGUCAUAGAGGGUGAGAAUCCCGUAUGGGAUGGGGUGUCCGCGCCCGUGUGAAGCUCCUUCGACGAGUCGAGUUGUUUGGGAAUGCAGCUCUAAUUGGGUGGUAAAUUUCAUCUAAAGCUAAAUAUUGGCCGGAGACCGAUAGCGCACAAGUAGAGUGAUCGAAAGAUGAAAAGCACUUUGAAAAGAGAGUUAAACAGCACGUGAAAUUGUUGAAAGGGAAGCGCUUGCGAUCAGACUCGCUCGCGGGGUUCAGCCGGCCUUCGGGCCGGUGUACUUCCCCGCGGGCGGGCCAGCGUCGGUUUGGGCGGCCGGUCAAAGGCCCCUGGAAUGUAACGCCUCUCGGGGCGUCUUAUAGCCAGGGGUGCCAUGCGGCCUGCCCGGACCGAGGAACGCGCUUCGGCUCGGACGCUGGCAUAAUGGUCGUAAGCGACCCGUCUUGAAACACGGACCAAGGAGUCUAACAUCUACGCGAGUGUUCGGGUGUCAAACCCGUGCGCGCAGUGAAAGCGAACGGAGGUGGGAACCCCUCGGGGUGCACCAUCGACCGAUCCUGAAGUCUUCGGAUGGAUUUGAGUAAGAGCGUAGCUGUUGGGACCCGAAAGAUGGUGAACUAUGCCUGAAUAGGGCGAAGCCAGAGGAAACUCUGGUGGAGGCUCGCAGCGGUUCUGACGUGCAAAUCGAUCGUCAAAUUUGGGUAUAGGGGCGAAAGACUAAUCGAACCAU